rnacentral:rRNA from 1 species
UACGAAGGGGGCUAGCGUUGCUCGGAAUCACUGGGCGUAAAGCGCACGUAGGCGGCUUUUUAAGUCAGGGGUGAAAUCCUGGAGCUCAACUCCAGAACUGCCUUUGAUACUGAGAGGCUCGAGUCCGGGAGAGGUGAGUGGAACUGCGAGUGUAGAGGUGAAAUUCGUAGAUAUUCGCAAGAACACCAGUGGCGAAGGCGGCUCACUGGACCGGUACUGACGCUGAUGCGCGAAAGCGUGGGGAGCAAACGGG